rnacentral:rRNA from 2 species
CUGAGUUUGAUCCUGGCUCAGGACGAACGCUGGCGGCGUGCCUAAUACAUGCAAGUCGAGCGAAUUUUCUGGAGCUUGCUCCAGAAAGUUAGCGGCGGACGGGUGAGUAACACGUGGGCAAUCUGCCCGUAAGACUGGGAUAACUCCGGGAAACCGGGGCUAAUACCGGAUAAUCCUGACUCUCUCCUGAGAGUCGGUUGAAAGAUGGUUUCGGCUAUCACUUACGGAUGAGCCCGCGGCGCAUUAGCUAGUUGGUGAGGUAACGGCUCACCAAGGCGACGAUGCGUAGCCGACCUGAGAGGGUGAUCGGCCACACUGGGACUGAGACACGGCCCAGACUCCUACGGGAGGCAGCAGUAGGGAAUCUUCCGCAAUGGACGAAAGUCUGACGGAGCAACGCCGCGUGAGUGAAGAAGGUUUUCGGAUCGUAAAACUCUGUUGUUAGGGAAGAACACGUACGAGAGUAACUGCUCGUACCUUGACGGUACCUAACCAGAAAGCCACGGCAAUCGC